rnacentral:lncRNA from 1 species
ACGGAGCUUAGAGCUGAGAGGCUGGGGCUGAGAACCGAGCUGGCUGAGAUAGUUCAGCCCGAUUGGUUGUCCCAUGGCUUUGGGCUUGUAUGGAGGCAGAUCAUCAUGGUGGGGCGGUAUGGGGGCAUAAAGCUGCAUACCUCACAAUGGGUGAGAAGCAAAGAGAAGAACAGGGAGACACAGGACCAGGAGAACUGAUCUUUUCAUAAGCAUGCUUAACUGGAUCUGGGAUCCACUAAGAGACACACCCUUUGGAAGGCCUUAGGGAGGGCAAUUCCAGGAAGAAUUAACCAAGAGAAGAGGACUUUGUGCUGGGAGUCCAGAUAUAAAGAGGUUUGAGGGCAAAGCAGCACUACUUGCCUGCUUGCCUUUGCUGCUUGCUGGUGAGUGCAUCUACUCUGUGAUGAAAACCUUGGCAGAAGGAGAUUUAUUUGGUACCGUGAGCUUCUCUUGUAAAUAGCUCCCCGGGUGCCGUGUCUACAACCCACCUGUCAGCCCUUGGAGUGGAGGAGGCUGUGUGUUAUUGAUCCCGACCUGUGGCUGCACCCAGCAUGGUACUAGUAUCUAGCAGGUCAUAGAUGGCUGUCACUGUGGAGAAGUCAAUGCCGCAGGAACUUGAAGCAGCCUCUCACAUCUGCAGUCAAGAGCUGGAAGUGGGAGGUGAGAUGUCUCAGUGGGCAGAGGAGCUUGCGGCCAAGAUUGAUGACCUGAGUUCACGCCCAUGGUGAAAAGAGAGAACUGACUCUUGAAAGUUGUCCUCUGGCUUC